CAAAGGAGCAAUCCGCUGAAAGAUGGGCUCGCGUCCGAUUAGGUAGUUGGCGGGGCAACGGCCCACCAAGCCGACGAUCGGUAGCCGGACUGAGAGGUUGAACGGCCACAUUGGGACUGAGACACGGCCCAGACUCCUACGGGAGGCAGCAGUGAGGGAUAUUGGUCAAUGGGGGAAACCCUGAACCAGCAACGCCGCGUGAGGGAAGACGGUUUUCGGAUUGUAAACCUCUGUCCUCUGUGAAGAUGAUGACGGUAGCAGAGGAGGAAGCUCCGGCUAACUACGUGCCAGCAGCCGCGGUAAUACGUAGGGAGCAAGCGUUGUCCGGAUUUACUGGGUGUAAAGGGCGCGUAGGCGGCUUUGCAAGUCAGAAGUGAAAUCCAUGGGCUUAACCCAUGAACUGCUUUUGAAACUGCAGAGCUUGAGUGGAGUAGAGGUAGGCGGAAUUCCCGGUGUAGCGGUGAAAUGCGUAGAGAUCGGGAGGAACACCAGUGGCGAAGGCGGCCUGCUGGGCUCUAACUGACGCUGAGGCACGAAAGCGUGGGUAGCAAACAGGAUUAGAUACCCUGGUAGUCCACGCUGUAAACGAUGAUUACUAGGUGUGGGUGGACUGACCCCAUCC
rnacentral:rRNA from 1 species